GGCCGGUACGUUUACUUUGAACAAAUUAGAGUGCUCAAAUCAGGUCGUAUUUAGGCCUGAAUACUGUGUGCAUGGAAUAAUGGAAUAGGACCUCGGUUCUAUUUUGUUGGUUUUUUGGAAUCAGAGGUAAUGAUUAAUAGGGACAGUCGGGGGCAUUCGUAUUGCGACGUUAGAGGUGAAAUUCUUGGAUCGUCGCAAGACGAACCUAAGCGAAAGCAUUUGCCAAGUAUGUUUCCGUUAAUCAAGAACGAAAGUUAGAGGUUCGAAGGCGAUCAGAUACCGCCCUAGUUCUAACCAUAAACGAUGCCAGCCAGCGAUCCGCCGAAGUUCCUCCGAUGACUCGGCGGGCAGCUUCCGGGAAACCAAAGCUUUUGGGUUCCGGGGGAAGUAUGGUUGCAAAGCUGAAACUUAAAGGAAUUGACGGAAGGGCACCACCAGGAGUGGAGCCUGCGGCUUAAUUUGACUCAACACGGGAAACCUCACCAGGCCCGGACACCGGAAGGAUUGACAGAUUGAGAGCUCUUUCUUGAUUCGGUGGGUGGUGGUGCAU
rnacentral:rRNA from 1 species